GCAUUAAUGGGGUAGUGGUAACCUGGGUCGUUGCCAAUGCAGCCACUCGACCCGCCGGGGGUUCGAUUCCCCCUUAAUGCA
rnacentral:tRNA from 1 species